rnacentral:rRNA from 1 species
GACGAACGCUGGCGGCGUGCUUAACACAUGCAAGUCGAACGGAAAGGCCCUGCUUUUGUGGGUUGCUCGAUUGGCGAACGGGUGAGUAACACGUGAGUAACCUGCCCUUGACUUUGGGAUAACUUCAGGAAACUGGGGCUAAUACCGGAUAGGAGCUCCUGCUGCAUGGUGGUGGUUGGAAAGUUUCGGCGGUUGGGGAUGGACUCGCGGCUUAUCAGCUUGUUGGUGGGGUAGUGGCUUACCAAGGCUUUGACGGGUAGCCGGCCUGAGAGGGUGACCGGCCACAUUGGGACUGAGAUACGGACCAGAAUCCUACGGGAGGCAGCAGUGGGGAAUAUUGCACAAUGGGCGGACGCCUGAUGCAGCAACGUCGCGUGCGGGAUGACGGCCUUCGGGUUGUAAACCGCUUUCGCCUGUGACGAAGCGUGAGUGACGGUAAUGGGUAAAGAAGCAACGGCUAACUACGUG